rnacentral:lncRNA from 1 species
UUGCAACCUCCGCCUCCUGGGUUCAAGCAAUUCUCCUGCCUCAGCCUCCUGAGUAGCUGGGAUUACAGGCGCCCGCCACCACUCCCAGCUAAUUUUUGUAUUUUUAGUAGGGACGAGGUUUCACCAUGUUGGUCAGGCUGGUCUCAAACUCCUGACCUCGUGAUCUGCCCUCCUUGGCCUUCCAAAGUGCUGGGAUUACAGGCGUGAUGGAGAUGAUACUCCCUAAAUCACAAGGGUGUGGUGUGAAGAUGAAAUGGCUGCACGUGACAGAGGAGUUGGAGAACAGGAAGCAAGUGGAUUACUUGGAUGAACUGUGAUGGGCCCAAGAAGAACUAAGCCAAUCACUCCAGGGGGCGUUUUCCCAGGAUCCAGGCAGAGAGCUGAUUCCAGCAUCCACGUUGUAUCCCCCUCCCGCUGUGGCCGGGGUCUCCAAGAGCCGGGCACCCACUGCAGAGCUUCCAAGCCCAGGCCCAUUUGAACACAGGAGGACUUUUGAGGUUCAUUUAACCCCAAAAUCAGUGAUUCUACAUCUCAAGCUCAUAUUUUGAAGUGUUUACGGAGAAAGGAGUUCAUGAAGGCAGAAAUGCCUGGGGCCCACGAACAUCCCAGUGUGGCCCUGGACGGGACAUCAUGCUGGGCAACACAGCUAAAAUGCGGGUGAAGACCAGAUUUCUUGCACAUGGCGGUGACGGGAUGCUCCCUAGAGAGCUUCAAGUGGAUUCUUUGCUUUUUAUUUUCUCUCUUAAUAAAAAUGUAUGAUGUUUACAUUGUCAGAGAACAA